AUGGAACUGAAACUGGAAAACAAGUUCUACUCUUUCUUUCUUUUUUUUUUGGUCCCAUGCUGUCUUAGACUUAGGCCUUUCAUCAUCUGCCUCUCUGUCAUUUGGUCUCUUACAUUCAUCAUCCUAGGGCCUCAGCCAAAAUGUCCAUUUCAACAUGCUGUUUUACCACAUGGGCACCUAGUUAUCUCUUCUCAAUUCUCUCUCCUCCAUUUACUAAAAAAGCGGGAGAAAGUAGACAGAAUUCCUGCCCACGUACUAUCUUAAAUUCAAGGCCAUGGAAAGUUCACUUCUUUCCUUCUACCUUUCCACCAAAUUCUGCUUAGAUUCAAAUGCCCCAUCCAUGAGGUACAGGCUCCCACCUACAGCCACUCAGGGCAGGAGAGCAAGGCUGAUAGAAGGUGGCUCCUGAUUCAAAUCCAAGCUCUGCCCUUCACUAGCCUCUCAGAGCCCUGACUCCCAAACUGCAAUGAUGCCCCUCACUUUGCAGGGCGAGAGCCAGGUUACAUCAUGGGAGGUGCUGAAUGACUUAAUAAUCAGUCCAAUUUUCUGUGAGUUUUCUUGUUCACAAGAUAGCAUCAGUGUUCUUAUCAUCCAAGGAGAAUACUCUUUGCAAAUCCCUUCUAAUGGCAUUCACUUUUCACAAAACUCUCCAGAAGUAUCUCCCAUUGAAAACUUUCUUCUGAGUCUAAAGGGGUUGGGGGAGAAUUAAAAUAAGAAAUAAAGGGAAAUCAUCUAAAAAUCCUAUUGUUAUUUACUUAAAUAUUUAUAUUACAUUCUUUUUUAUUUUUUAAGUUGAUAUAAAAUUGUAUGUAUUUGUUGUGUACCACAUGAUGUUUUGAAUUAUGUAUUCAUGGUGAGACAGCUAAAUCUAGCUAAUUAACACAUGAAUUACCUCACAAAGUUAUCAUUUUUUUGUGGUGAAAGCAUUUAAAACCUACUCAGCAUUUUUCAAGAAUACAAUGUAUUGUUAUAAACUAUAGUCAUCGUAUUGCACAAUAGAUCUCCUCCUAACAGACACUGUACCCUUUGACUAACAUCUCUUCAACCACUCCACCUAAAAAUCAUAUACACUUUUGCAUAGAUCAAAGAGCUGGAAAGACCUUGAGAUAGCAUCUCUCCAGUCUUGACCAUGAUGAUGAUACAUGUCAGAUUCAAUCUUCCAUAUUUUCCAUGUUUUAUGUGGCUGAAUAUCGCCGCUUCUAAAACUCAAUUGAUCUUGUUUCUUCACCAAAUCAGCAUUUGUCUCAGCAGACUCAUUUAAACUAUAUUGACUAUAGCCAAAAGGACUGAAACAUGGGGCUUGUUUAUAGCGCUUUGAACUUGCAAUAAGUGAAUUUUUAACCUAGUAGUGAAUUAUCAUCAUUUUUACUUGGUAGAAUUUUUGUUUGUUUGUUUGUUUGUUGUUUUGUUCUUUUGCAAAAGAAAAUGCCUCACAGUCAUCUACCACCCGCCUGGACUUACAUAUUUCUCUAAGGCUUGCCGCCAUCCUCUCCUUCUGGUCUGAGGCUGUUUCUCAGGCGGGGCUAUCUGCAGAUGCAGCAGAAUAGCUGAGCAAACAAUGCAGGGGCUGUUCAAGAAGCAGACAGGAUGUAGUGCUUGGCGUCUGGUAAGAGCAGGGAAUGUGUCAUGAGCCUGCUCAGCCUACUCUAGAAUCCCACACAUGUUUUCUGAAGUUUUUGCCCGGAUAAUCCCACUGUAGUUGGAAAAAUGGUGGCCAUGCUUGGUCUAUUCUUACAGCUCAGUGCAAAUGUCUGCUGCAGAAAAAAAUCUACACAGGGAAACUCUGUCCUCGGUCAUGGACCCUGGCCAGGGACUGGACAAUUGUGUAGUUAGUUAAAAAGAGACCAGGACAAAAAGUAUAAACGGGUCAUAUGACCCAUCCUCUCAGCUGGGAAAACAACUCAUGUACCAGUCCGGCUGACAGUGGGCCAUCUCAGGAGGGUACCAUCCCACGCUGUGGGGAAGCGUUGCUGGUCCUCCGUGGGUCUUUUUAACCACAUUCACAUGCCUGGCUGCUGGGUUUUAUCCGAUGCACCAUCAGGAAUAUGAAAGGCCAGAAGCAUAAUAGAAACCGAAUAGUCCUUGCAGUUGAGAGAAAGAAUGAUGUUUGAAAAGCAGUGCAGAGUUGCUUCUUGUCUAGACCAGUGGCUUGCUGUGGCAUAGGGCAAAGGGAAAUGCCUGUUACUAUUUGUAGGACAUAAAACAGUAGUCAUAAAACCUAGAAUCAUCAGCAAAGACCCAUUGUGAUAAAGAACUGCAAAAUACCUGUGCUUGUUCUUACAGUUUAUAGAUUUCCAGAGGAAGCUGUGGUCUUGCCCUUUGGCUUCUGUCACCCUGAUACAGUUUUUAAACUCCUGCACGUGAGUUGGAGGGGAAAGAAGAGGUCACUCCACUGUGUCCAUGCCCUGUGUGCCCAGAUGGGCAUUCUCCACUUACCUCUGCAUGCAAGAAACACUUAGGAAACUUCUUCUUCCCACUCUGACUCCAUUUACCUAACCAGUUUGUUACAUAAGCAGAAAUAGGCAAUGAGAGACCCUUCCAACACACACACACACGC
ensembl:lncRNA